AUUGAACGCUGGCGGCAGGCCUAACACAUGCAAGUCGAGCGAGCGGCGGACGGGUGAGUAAUGUAUGGGGACUGCCCGAUAGAGGGGGAUAACUACUGGAAACGGUGGCUAAUACCGCCUACUGUCGGAUAACCCAUAUGGGUUUAGCUGGUAGGUAAGGUAAUGGCUUACCUAGGCGACGAUCCCUAGCUGGUCUGAGAGGAUGAUCAGCCACACUGGAACUGAGACACGGCCAGGACUCCUACGGAGGCAGAGGUGGGGAAUAUUGCACAAGGGGCGAAAGGCUGAUGCAGCCAUGCCGGGUAGAUGAAGAAGGCCCUAGGGUUGUAAAGUAUUUUCAGUCGGGAGGCGUUACCGACAGAAGAAGCACCGGCUAACUCCGUGCCAGCCGCCGCGGUAAUUC
rnacentral:rRNA from 1 species